CCAAUAGCGUAUAUUAAAGUUGUUGCAGUUAAAAAGCUCGUAGUUGAAUUUCGGGAUUGGCGCAUCGGUCGUGCCUCACGGGGUAUGAACUGGUGCAGUCAAUUUCUCACCUUCUGGAGAACUGCGAUGUCCUUAAUUGGAUGCCGCGGGGAACCAGGACCUUUACUUUGAAAAAAUUAGAGUGUUUAAAGCAGGCAUUUUUGCUUGAAUACAUUAGCAUGGAAUAAUAAAAUAGGACGGCAUGGUUCUAUUUUGUUGGUUUCUAGGACCACCGUAAUGAUUAAUAGGGAUAGUUGGGGGCAUUAGUAUUCAAUUGUCAGAGGUGAAAUUCUUGGAUUUAUUGAAGACUAACUACUGCGAAAGCAUUUGCCAAGGAUGUUUUCAUUAAUCAAGAACGAAAGUUAGGGGAUCGAAGACGAUCAGAUACCGUCGUAGUCUUAACCAUAAACUAUGCCGACUAGGAAUCAGACGAUGUUAAUUUUUUAAUGACUCGUUUGGCACCUUACG
rnacentral:rRNA from 1 species